rnacentral:rRNA from 1 species
AGUGAACGCUGGCGGUAGGCCUAACACAUGCAAGUCGAACGGCAGCACAGUAAGAGCUUGCUCUUACGGGUGGCGAGUGGCGGACGGGUGAGGCAUACAUCGGAAUCUACUUUUUCGUGGGGGAUAACGUAGGGAAACUUACGCUAAUACCGCAUAUGACCUACGGGUGAAAGCAGGGGAUCUUCGGACCUUGCGCGAUUGAAUGAGCCGAUGUCGGAUUAGCUAGUUGGCGGGGUAAAGGCCCACCAAGGCGACGAUCCGUAGCUGGUCUGAGAGGAUGAUCAGCCACACUGGAACUGAGACACGGUCCAGACUCCUACGGGAGGCAGCAGUGGGGAAUAUUGGACAAUGGGCGCAAGCCUGAUCCAGCCAUACCGCGUGGGUGAAGAAGGCCUUCGGGUUGUAAAGCCCUUUUGUUGGGAAAGAAAAGCAGCAGGUGAAUACCCCGCUGUUCUGACGGUACCCAAAGAAUAAGCACCGGCUAACUUCGUG